CUGGUGCCACUCGGCAUUGGCCUCAUUCCCCUCACGUCCAGCGUCUGCAAUGGAAAAACGGGGUGGUGGUGUCAGCAACGGCACAGUUCAACACCCAUGCUGGGGGAAGUCAUCGCCGUCGGCGACACGGUUCAGUUCGCGUACGUCUCGUAGCAAGUCUGUUACGACAUCAGGUACGUGGGCUUUGGAAGGACACCGUCGCUGGAGGAGACGAUGGCCGGCGGUCAAGGCUAACGGUGGAGUGGCAGCCGAAGGCCGGGGCACGUGCAAGGGGACAUUAACCGCUUUGUGGGGGACACAGCUGGAGACAGGGACAAGCACAAGCGGAAUGGCAGCGGCUUGACCGGUGCAAUCGUAUAAAAGCCACCCAGUCAUUUCCCCUCCCACCUCCAGGCCGGCCAUCUCUUCCCUCCUUUUUUUUGUAACGACCAGACGAGAAAUAUUCCCGGUCUUUCGGCACUUUACUUCGUUCAUCAUGUCGUUUGUUUGCCAUUUUUAUGUUUGCUUAUGUGCUCCCUUUUUUAAUCAAAGAUAUAACGCCGGUUUCCCGUGUAACAUUAGUCCCAUUGUGUGUUACUGUGUUCAUAGACACCAACAAGAAAACAAAUCACCCUCAAAAACCCAUCACCAGAUCCCCCGCUGCUGCGCUACCAGCAGC